UUUUGACUUUCUUCAGACUCAUUUAUUGAGUUUUGCUCGAUUCUAGGCUCAUUCCGAGUAGUAAAGGGUGUAAUUUGGUCCAAAUUGACAUAUGAAAAUAACUGUUUUUCAACCUUCAUCAAUCUCCCAUCAUGACUGUUUUCAACUCGCAUCUUUUCUUUAUCUCCACUACCGUUGAACUCACUAGCCUCUUCUAUUUCCUGGCUUUCCUUUCUUUCCUCAGCACCUACCAUCUCUUUGUCUCUGUCUUCACUACUACCCUUAUUGACUAGAUCAUCUUCAGUCUUCCUUUUUUCUCUUUGAUGAAGGUUGAAAAACAGUUAUUUUCAUGUG
rnacentral:lncRNA from 1 species